rnacentral:rRNA from 1 species
CGGCAGCACGGGUGCUUGCACCUGGUGGCGAGUGGCGAACGGGUGAGUAAUAUAUCGGAACGUACCUUAUUGUGGGGGAUAACGCAGCGAAAGCUGUGCUAAUACCGCAUAAUCCCUUAGGGGGAAAGCGGGGGACCGUAAGGCCUCGCGCAAUUAGAGCGGCCGAUACCUGAUUAGCUAGUUGGUGAGGUAAAGGCUCACCAAGGCAACGAUCAGUAGCUGGUCUGAGAGGACGAUCAGCCACACUGGGACUGAGACACGGCCCAGACUCCUACGGGAGGCAGCAGUGGGGAAUUUUGGACAAUGGGGGCAACCCUGAUCCAGCAAUGCCGCGUGAGUGAAGAAGGCCUUCGGGUUGUAAAGCUCUUUUGUCAGGGAAGAAACAGCAGCUCUAACACAGUCUGCGAAUGACGGUACCUGAAGAAUAAGCACCGGCUAACUACGUGCCAGCAGCCGCGGUAAUACGUAGGGUGCAAGCGUUAAUCGGAAUUACUGGGCGUAAAGCGUGCGCAGGCGGUUAUGUAAGACAGGCGUGAAAUCCCCGGGCUUAACCUGGGAAUUGCGCUUGUGACUGCAUAGCUAGAGUAUGUCA